rnacentral:lncRNA from 1 species
CUUUCGCCCGAGGCGGGCUGCGGGCUGCUGGGGUCUGGUGCGGAGGGCCAACUUCUGGGAAUAACCUGGCUGUGGGCUUAAAAAUCGUAGUCAUUCAUUAUCACGGGCUUCUCUCUCUCGAAUACCUUUAACAUUUAUCGCCUUGUUAGUCUCCACAUCCACCUCCGUGAAAGGUAGGUAUUUUUGUCCUCAUUUUAGGCCUGAAGAAACCGAGAAGCUGAGAAAUGAAGUAAUUCACUGGAAGUUGGGGCCAAGUCUUGGAUGCCCAAGCCCAAAUUCCUAACCGUGACCCUACGCUGCUGCUGCUGCUGCUACUUGCAGAAACUGGUUAUUAACCGAGAGCUGUUGCUGGAAGUAGCUUCCACUCCCCUGCCCCCGUGAUGUAAAAAUAGAUGAAAAACUCUGCAGUGAUUAUGUGAAAGGUCAGGCCGACACAGGAGUCCUGGGGCCCAGACCCACAUCUGACCCAGAAGCUUUGCAAAGAUGAGAAGGUUGGUAAACCAGCUAUAGAAAAGGCCAAACUAAUUUGGCUGUAAAUUAAGGCAGCCAAAAGCCCUCCAGGAUGUAAGACCAGGACGGAUUCUCGUGUUGAUAAAAAGGAAAAUAAAAUGGAAUCCAGUCCAAAGGCCCCAGGGAAACCUGCAAAGAAAACCACUAACCAGUUUUGAAAGUAAAAGAUAAAGCCACUUUUGUUAUUUCCCUGAAAGAGAUGUAGACUGCUGUCGAUAAAUGCUGUUUUAUGUGUAGAUAAAAAGCAAAACGGCCACACAGUAGUGAGGGUCAAAAACUACCAUCGAUGAGAGGAACAGGAGAGGCCUCGCAAAAGGCUGACAGCCAGUGAACUAGAAGCCCGAGAGGAAAAAAAGCUUUAGAAUAGUUUUAACAAAAGGAUUUGGGCUUUCCUGUACUGGGACUCUCAGCUGUUCACAAAAUUAUGCUUUCUAAAGUAACAGAUUAUCUGAAAUUGAAAUUAUUAGAGGAAAAACACCCAUAUAUAGGUAAUCAAAUUUACAUAAUUUUUUUUUUUUUAGAGAUGGAGUCUCGCUAUAUUUCCCAGUCUGGCCUCAAACUCCUGAUCUUAAGGGAUCCCCAGCUCAACCUCUCCCAGCAGCUGGGACUACCGGGCUGUCAAAUUUACAUUAACUAUGAGAAUUAAGCAGAAUCCGAAAGUCAUCUGAGUUGGCUAUCUGCACGUUCUCUCUGUACCAGUGAACUUGAACUGUGGCUGUGGCCUGGAUUCCGCAUUCAAACAUGACCAACUGACCUCUGGUUGUAGGGAUGUCUUGAAGAUGCUGAAGAACAAACACAGAGUUCAGAGGAUGGAAGAAACUGUUAUACCAUCUACAAUGAUUUGAAAUGCCAUUUGCAACUGCAGUUGACCGUGGGUUAUUGAAACCACAGAAAGUGAAACUGGAUAACGAAGGGAAACACUAUCCCAGCCUCAACAAGGAGCUUGAUUUGGGCACAGAAACAGGAGAAAGAGACCUGCCUUGCCUCCCUUAUCCAACCGGAAGUAUUCUUCUUCUUCUGUCUUCAAUUUAUUGCAUGAUCACAUUUAUUGCAUGGGUGGCUUCAGGAAGGAUUUUAGGGAUUCCUGGAAAUAAUCAGUCUUGAAAUACUCCCCUCUUCUUCCUUCAUCUAGGAUGCUUCCUCUUCUCUCAAUAUAUUCUCACUUAUGGGUAUAAAGGUAAGUUGAGUCCUCCUUUGAUAUUAACUCUGCCUUCAGUUACCCUUAACUUUCCUUUAGUCAGCUUUCAACCUAGCCUGAAGAGAAGCCUUUGGAACCCCUGUGUACAUGUUGAUGGGAAUGUAAAUUAGUACAGCCAUUAUGGAAAACAGUAUGGAGGUUCCUCAAAAAAUUAAAAUUAGAACUACCAUAUGCUCCAGCAAUACCAUUCGUGGGUAUAUAUCCAAAGGAAUUGAAAUCAGCAUAUCAGGGAGAUAUCUGUACUCUCAUGUACGUUGCAGCAUUAUUCAUAAUAGCCAAGAUAUGGAAUCAACCUAAAUGUCCAUCAAUGGAUGAAUGGAUAAUGAAAAAAUGUGACACACAUACAGACACAUACACAGAUAUAUAUACAAUGGUAUACUAUUUGGCUUUUAAAAAGAAGGAAAUCCUGUCAUUUGCAACAGUAUAGAUGAACCUGGAGGACAUUAUGCUAAGUGAAAUAAGCCGGGCACAGAAAGACAAAUGCUACAUGAUCUUAGUUUUAUGUGGAAUCUUAAAAAGUCGAACUCAUAGAAACAGAGAGUAGAAUGGUGGUUACCAGGAGCUGAGGGGUGGUUGUGGAACUGGGGAGAUACUGGUCAAAGUUUCCAAAUUUCAGACAGAAGAAAUGAGUACAAGAGAUCUAUUGUCUAUCAUGGUGACUGCAGUUAAUAGCAAUGUAUUGGAUUCUUGAAAAUUGCUAAGAGAGUAGAUCUUAAAUGUUCUCACAACAGAAAGUGAUAAGUAUGUGAGAUGAUGGAUAUGUUAAUUAGCUUGAUUUAACCAUUUCAUAACAUUAUCCAUAUAUCAAAACACAUUGUUCACUGUAAAUAUAUAUAAUUUUUGUCACCUAUACUGUAAUUUAAAAAAGUAAAUUAAAAAAAGAAGGAAAGACUUCAAAACCAACACAUUGAAUUACUCCCCUGGUAUAUUGUAAAUGCUUUAAAGCCUCAGCUUGGUUGUAAAUUCUUUAAAGCUGUGUCUUGUACUUUUUCUAUUCCAAAUGCAGAGCUAAGUAUAUAGUAAGGGCUUAAUAUAUUUUUCUUGAUUUAUUAUUCUACAAAAAACAAAGCUUACAGGAAGAGAGAUUGACUCUGUUUAUUAGGCUGAUGAACUAUGCUGUUCAGGCAGAGAAGAAACUUAGGGGACUUGUUGCAAGAAUGUUUUAGCAUUUUCUCAUUCAGCUCUGGUUUACUGGACAGACAUAUUCAGGAUAGUUUACUAAUUCUUUUAGGGCAUAAACACUUAUUCAUUCCACUAAUAGUCUUCUUUUCUAGAAGCUUUUAAAGAUAUGAGAAAUUAUUCUCAAUCCAAAAUGAUUUGAGGUUGGGGGAUAGGAGGUUUUUGGAGUGCUGGUUAGGGGAACCUGUUUCCAGGACUAUCUGGCAAACAUGAAAGUCCAGUCUCCACCCAAAGGACUAUAAAUCAUGCUGCUAUAAAGACACAUGCACACGUAUGUUUAUUGCGGCAUUAUUCACAAUAGCAAAGACUUGGAACCGACCCAAAUGUCCAACAAUGAUAGACUGGAUUAAGAAAAUGUGGCACAUAUACACCAUGGAAUACUAUGCAGCCAUAAAAAAUGAUGAGUUCAUGUCCUUUGUAGGGACAUGGAUGAAAUUGGAAAUCAUCAUUCUCAGUAAACUAUCGCAAGAACAAAAAACCAAACACCGCAUAUUCUCACUCAUAGGUGGGAAUUGAACAGUGAGAUCACAUGGACACAGGAAGGGGAACAUCACACUCUGGGGACUGCUGUGGGGUGGGGGGAGGGGGAAGGGAUAGCAUUGGGAGAUAUACCCUUCCCAAUGCUCGCUAGAUGACGAGUUAGUGGGUGCAGCGCACCAGCAUGGCACAUGUAUACAUACAUAUGUAACUAACCUGCACAAUGUGCACAUGUACCCUAAAACUUAAAGUAUAAUAAUUAAAAAAAAAAAAAAAAAGAAAGUCCAGUCUCCUAAAAGGCUCAUCUGGCAACUGGAGAGAGGGAGGUAAGACCUUAUUUCAUAUACCAGCUUGUUCAACAAUAGACCAAAUUGAUAUGAAUUAUCCACAAACACUGCAAAAAUAGAGGAAAUAAAGGCUGAUUUUCUGAAGUCUUUCCAUGUUUCCUCUCAUAUAAAAGACUUUUACCCACAAUACUUGGUUUAUGUUUCCAUUAUACCUUCUUCUCGAAGUAGCU